rnacentral:rRNA from 1 species
UACGUAGGGAGCAAGCGUUGUCCGGAAUCAUUGGGCGUAAAGCGCGCGUAGGUGGCCACAUAAGUCCGUUGUGAAAGUCAAAGGCUCAACCUUUGAAAGCCGAUGGAUACUGUGUGGCUAGAGUACGGAAGAGGCGAGUGGAAUUCCUGGUGUAGCGGUGGAAUGCGCAGAUAUCAGGAGGAACACCAAUAGCGAAGGCAGCUCGCUGGGACGUUACUGACGCUGAGGCGCGAAAGCGUGGGGAGCAAACAGG